GCUUCUCCACUCUCUCUCUCUACAAUCCCUCUCUUCUCUACCUUUUCUCUAAAACAAAACCAUUGCCGACCACUAGCUGCCUCACUAACCUCUAUUGGCGCUCCACCUCCUCCGUUCAUCCCCCUAAUAGCAGCCGCCCAGUGCCACCACCGAUGAAAUAGCUGCAGCCACCGCUGUCUCUCUUUCUCAAAUAGCUGCUGUCGCCACUCUUUCCAUCACCAUGACUUCAAAAUGAUCAAGUCCCCACCACCUCCACCUCCACCUCCAACUUCUCCUCCACCUCCUCCUGUAGAAGAAAAUAUUGAUGCAGAUUUGAUUGGUCUAGUUCUUGGAGAUACGGACAUGCUUGGUAGAGUGUUCAUCGAGCCUGAUGGAUCUUCGUGGUAUCCUACGUCAAAAUAAGUUAAUGAGGCUGUAAGGGGGAGCAUUAUGAGACUUUUUACAUAUCCUUGGUACGAGUGGUGGGACAUUCCUAUAGUCUCUACACAAGCCAUGUUUCAAGAGU